rnacentral:lncRNA from 1 species
CCAAAGACUUUAAUAUAUUGAUAGAAAGACAAGUAUGCAACUUUGUUAAAAAUGAAUAUAGUAAAUAUUUUUCUAAGGUAUGUUAGUUCUACUAACAUAGCAAAAGAUGUCUUUAAAAUUAUAAGAGAUUAAUACUAGGAUCAAAUAUAAUUCAUGAAUAUUUUGUAAAAGAUAUAUAAAAAAACCUUUCUAAUGAUUUGUUCAAAUUACAAAAACAAGCACAUAUUGAUAAAGUAUAAUCUUUUUUAUUGCAAGAUAGAGCAUUAAAAAUAUCAUGAGUCUAUUUUUGUACCACAAAUAUUUUUAAAAUAAAAUUUUAUCAACUAAAAUAGCUACUCAAUAUUUGAAUUUAUAAACUUCAAAAAGUCAUUACAACUUCUAAAUAAUGUUUGUAUCUAAGACAUGAAUAUCAAAGAAUCAAAAAAUCAAUACAUUCUUAUAAGAUUCAAAAAGACUAAGUAAUCACUC